UUUUAUGUGGCAUAAAAGUUAAAGGACUUGGAUCAACGACUUCUACGUGUAUUGCAGCCAAAAUCUCUUAUAAGAACUGGACUUAUGCCAAAUUUUGAUUUUGAUUUUUUUUUUGGGUCAAAGCUUAAUGAAUGGGUUGGGACAAUGAUACAUGCGUGUAUGGUACUUUUUAUUUUUUGUUGACAAAAGGGAGGCUAAAGCCCAAACAUAUGGAGUUUCCAUUUGGACCUGUGUAAGUAAGCCUUAAAAUAGACUUAAGAUAUAGUAGUAUGAGCAGGCCUUUGGGCCAUAUUUUAGUUGAGGAUCUAGGCCCAUGUCUAUUCUUGGCUGAUUUUCUUGUCUUUUGGGAUUCGGCCGACUUGGUAGCCGG
rnacentral:lncRNA from 1 species